rnacentral:rRNA from 1 species
GACGAACGCUGGCGGCGUGCUUAACACAUGCAAGUCGAACGGAAAGGCCCCUUUGGGGGUACUCGAGUGGCGAACGGGUGAGUAACACGUGAGUAACCUGCCCUUGACUUCGGGAUAACUUCAGGAAACUGGGGCUAAUACCGGAUAGGAAUCCUUGCUGCAUGGUGGGGGUUGGAAAGCUUCGGCGGUUUUGGAUGGACUCGCGGCUUAUCAGCUUGAUGGUGGGGUAGUGGCUUACCAAGGCUUUGACGGGUAGCCGGCCUGAGAGGGCGACCGGCCACAUUGGGACUGAGAUACGGCCCAGACUCCUACGGGAGGCAGCAGUGGGGAAUAUUGCACAAUGGGCGGAAGCCUGAUGCAGCAACGCCGCGUGCGGGAGGACGGCCUUCGGGUUGUAAACCGCUUUCAGCAGGGGCGAAGCUUGUGGUGACGGUACCUGCAGAAGAAGCACCGGCUAACUACGUG